CCUACUGGUGGCAGCAGUGAGGAAUAUUGGUCAAUGGCCGGAAGGCUGAACCAGCCAAGCCGCGUGAAGGACGAAGGUGCCAAGCAUUGUAAACUUCUUUUGUCAAGGGACAAAAUCAGGCUCGAGAGCCUGACCGAGGGUACUUGAAGAAAAAGCAUCGGCUAACUCCGUGCCAGCAGCCGCGGUAAUACGGAGGAUGCGAGCGUUAUCCGGAUUUAUUGGGUUUAAAGGGUGCGUAGGCGGACUGUUAAGUCAGCGGUAAAAGCCCGGGGCUCAACCCCGGCCUGCCGUCGGAACUGGGUGCCUUGAGUGGGCGAGAAGUAUGCGGAAUGCGUGGUGUAGCGGUGAAAUGCAUAGAUAUCACGCAGAACCCCGAUUGCGAAGGCAGCAUACCGGCGCCCGACUGACGCUGAGGCACGAAAGUGCGGGUAUCGAACAGGAUUAGAUACCCCAGUAGUC
rnacentral:rRNA from 1 species